UACGAGGGGGCAAGCGUUGUUCGGAAUUAUUGGGCGUAAAGGGCGCGUAGGCGGUGCGGUAAGUCACCUGUGAAACCUCUAGGCUCAACCUAGAGCCUGCAGGCGAAACUGCCGUGCUUGAGGGUGGGAGAGGUGCGUGGAAUUCCCGGUGUAGCGGUGAAAUGCGCAGAUAUCAGGAAGAACACCCGUGGCUAAGGCGGCUCUCUAGUACGGUACUGACGCUGAGACGCGAAAGCGUGGGGAGCGAACAGG
rnacentral:rRNA from 1 species